GCACUUACGGGACGCAGCAGUGAGGAAUAUUGGUCAAUGGCCGCAGGGCUGAACCAGCCAAGUCGCGUGAGGGAUGACGGUCCUAUGGAUUGUAAACCUCUUUUGUCAGGGAGCAAAGGGCGCCACGUGUGGCGUUUUGCGAGUACCUGAAGAAAAAGCAUCGGCUAACUCCGUGCCAGCAGCCGCGGUAAUACGGAGGAUGCGAGCGUUAUCCGGAUUUAUUGGGUUUAAAGGGUGCGCAGGCGGAAUGUCAAGUCAGCGGUAAAAUUUCGGGCCCCCCCCCCGCCCCCCC
rnacentral:rRNA from 1 species